rnacentral:rRNA from 1 species
UACGAAGGGGGCUAGCGUUGUUCGGAAUCACUGGGCGUAAAGGGCGCGUAGGCGGCCGAUCAAGUCGGGGGUGAAAGCCUGUGGCUCAACCACAGAAUUGCCUUCGAUACUGUUUGGCUUGAGACCGGAAGAGGUUAGUGGAACUGCGAGUGUAGAGGUGAAAUUCGUAGAUAUUCGCAAGAACACCAGUAGCGAAGGCGGCUGACUGGUCCGGUUCUGACGCUGAGGCGCGAAAGCGUGGGGAGCAAACAGG